rnacentral:rRNA from 1 species
GACGAACGCUGGCGGCGUGCUUAACACAUGCAAGUCGAACGGAAAGGCCCUGCUUGCAGGGUGCUCGAGUGGCGAACGGGUGAGUAACACGUGGGUGAUCUGCCCCUUACUUUGGGAUAAGCCUGGGAAACUGGGUCUAAUAUUGGACAGGACCAUGCUGUAGGUGGGGUGGUGGAAAGUUUUUUUCGGUAAGUGAUGAGCUCGGGGCCUAUCAGCUUGUUGGUGGGGUAAUGGCCUAGCAAGGCGUCGACGGGUAGACGGCCUGAGAGGGUGGACGGGGACUGUGAGACUGAGAUACGGCCGAGACUCGGCCGGGAGGCGGAAGAGAGGAAGAUGGGAGGAAGGGUGAAGGACUGACGCAGCGACGGCGCGUGGGGGAUGAGGGCCUUCGGGUUGUCAACUCCUUGCAGACCUCACGAAGCCGGUAUGGUGGUGACGGUAGUGGUAGAAGAAGCACCGGCUAACUACGUG